AGCAAAAGCCAAAACAGUUCCAUCAGGAUCAAUCUCAAAGAGUUUUUCCACUAUCUUUGUGUAGGCUGUCUCAUGGCGCUUCUCAUCUGCAGCAAUUGUACCACAUAUUUGAGCCAACUUUAUGUCUCCAUGCUCUUUGGCUUGUCGGGCAGUGUUCCCAUGAGAAAUGAAGGUUGCCCUUUCCUGGAAUGAUGUAUAGAUGAACCCAAGGUAUGGACUGUUUUCUGUCCGUGGAUCCUACAAAAGCAUAAAUAAAUAAGAAAUCAAAUUAGAAAUAAAAAGAAGGGUAGCUGAGCAUUUUGACCAAACAGAAUGAGAAGAAGAAAAAUGGCAUAGUAGAUUUAUCUGGGUGCACACUCCAUAAUGAUUUAUGACAAAUCUGCAUUUUCAAUAUAAAGAAGCACAUAUUUUGCUUCAAACGCAAUGGUUAGAGGAAUUACACAUAAUUUUAUUUGAUCAACCAUACAAAAUUUGCAACUAAUCAUGCAUGAAUCCAUUUCAAUCAUCCAUAACAUUAUAUGCAUAUAUUUUAUUAUGUGCCAGUACAUGCACAAGUGUAAGUAAAGAAGAUGUUCUUUGCAUAUACUGCUGAGGAUCAAUAAGCCAGGUCCAGACCUAACUUCAUUUGGAUAUAUAUUGUUGAGGAUAUCCUGCCCCUAUAGCAUGCCUUGAGAGUUUUUAAGUUAGUUUUUAUGAAGCAAUGCCGACAGAAGUUGAUAUGAAUUGGCAAUUCUAGCACAUAACAGCUGACGUGACUUAUCUACCAAAUUAACUUCCUACAACGAUGAGAGAACUUGACAUCUCUCCAUUAAAAAACAAAGAAAAAAAAUCUAUGGGAAUGUAAGCACAUUCAAUUUUGCUUCAAACCGCAGAAAAGACUCGACACAAAAGGAUAAUUAGGUGGGAAGGACCUUACCAUUCCUGAACCAAUCAAAUAUUGAAUUGUCUUCUCAAUUUGCCUCAUGUCCACUCGUCCAGAUAGGUAGAGAUACUUAUUGAGGAGGUCACCAUGUCUAUUCUCUUCCGCAGUCCAUGCCCUUGUCCAAAUUGCCCAAGAAGUAGGACUUGCACCUGUUUCAUCCCGAACUCCAUCCAAGGUAUUCAGCAUUGUUUGAUAAGUGGGAAGGGCUUCUUCCGUUAUCAUGUCUCCAACCAAAACAACAAAAUAAUCAUCAGGAAUCUCCUUUGCUCUCUCCCUGAGUUCCCUGACUUGCUCAUCAAAUCCA
rnacentral:lncRNA from 1 species